rnacentral:rRNA from 1 species
CCCUUAGAUGUUCUGGGCUGCACGCGCGCUACACUGAUGCGCUCAACGAGUUUAUAACCUUGUCCGGCAGGAUUGGGUAAUCUUUUUAAAACGCAUCGUGAUGGGGAUAGAUUAUUGCAAUUAUUAAUCUUCAACGAGGAAUUCCUAGUAAGCGCGAGUCAUCAGCUCGUGCUGAUUACGUCCCUGCCCUUUGUACACACCGCCCGUCGCUCCUACCGAUUGAAUGUGUUGGUGAGGAGCUCGGAUUGGCAGCAGUUGGUGGUUCGCCACCGGCUAUUGCUGAGAAGUCCUCCAAACCGCCCCAUUUAGAGGAAGGAGAAGUCGUAACA